UACGUAGGGUGCAAGCGUUGUCCGGAAUUACUGGGCGUAAAGAGCUCGUAGGCGGUCUGUCGCGUCUGCUGUGAAAACUCGGGGCUUAACCCCGGGCCUGCAGUGGGUACGGGCAGACUAGAGUGCGGUAGGGGAGACUGGAAUUCCUGGUGUAGCGGUGAAAUGCGCAGGUAUCAGGAGGAACACCGGUGGCGAAGGCGGGUCUCUGGGCCGUAACUGACGCUGAGGAGCGAAAGCAUGGGGAGCGAACAGG
rnacentral:rRNA from 1 species